GAUGAACGCUGGCGGCGUGCCUAAUACAUGCAAGUCGAGCGAACGGACGAGAAGCUUGCUUCUCUGAUGUUAGCGGCGGACGGGUGAGUAACACGUGGAUAACCUACCUAUAAGACUGGGAUAACUUCGGGAAACCGGAGCUAAUACCGGAUAAUAUUUUGAACCGCAUGGUUCAAAAGUGAAAGGCGGUCUUGCUGUCACUUAUAGAUGGAUCCGCGCUGCAUUAGCUAGUUGGUAAGGUAACGGCUUACCAAGGCAACGAUGCAUAGCCGACCUGAGAGGGUGAUAGGCCACACUGGAACUGAGACACGGUCCAGACUCCUACGGGAGGCAGCAGUAGGGAAUCUUCCGCAAUGGGCGAAAGCCUGACGGAUCAACGCCGCGUGAGUGAUGAAGGUCUUCGGAUCGUAAAACUCUGUUAUUAGGGAAGAACAUAUGUGUAAGUAACUGUGCACAUCUUGACGGUAACUAAUCAGAAAGCCACGGCUAACUACGUG
rnacentral:rRNA from 1 species